CCAACAUAGGUAUCCUGGUAGAUGACAUUCCCAGGCAUUGUUCAGGUGGUACAUAGGAACAUAACCUAACAUGCACAAACCCUUCCCACAAGGGAGAAGAAGCUAGGCCUCAAGUCUACACCAGUUUCUCAGAGUCCUACGGAUCAUUGUCUCCUGAGGAGACAAAACAUGCAGGAAAAAAGU
rnacentral:snoRNA from 1 species